rnacentral:rRNA from 1 species
UACGUAGGGGGCUAGCGUUGCUCGGAAUUACUGGGCGUAAAGCGCACGUAGGCGGCUUCUUAAGUCGGUGGUGAAAUCCUGGAGCUCAACUCCAGAACUGCCUUCGAUACUGGGAAGCUCGAGUCCGGGAGAGGUGAGUGGAACUGCGAGUGUAGAGGUGAAAUUCGUAGAUAUUCGCAAGAACACCAGUGGCGAAGGCGGCUCACUGGCCCGGUACUGACGCUGAGGUGCGAAAGCGUGGGGAGCAAACGGG